rnacentral:rRNA from 1 species
AUUGAACGCUGGCGGCAGGCCUAACACAUGCAAGUCGAGCGAGCGGCGGACGGGUGAGUAAUGUAUGGGGAUCUGCCCGAUGGAGGGGGAUAACUACUGGAAACGGUGGCUAAUACCGCAUACCAUCAGAUGAACCCAGAUGGGAUUAGCUAGUGGGUGGGGUAAAGGCUCACCAAGGCGACGAUCACUAGCUGGUCUGAGAGGAUGACCAGCCACACUGGGACUGAGACACGGCCCAGACUCCUACGGGAGGCAGCAGUGGGGAAUAUUGCACAAUGGGCGCAAGCCUGAUGCAGCCAUGCCGCGUGUAUGAAGAAGGCCUUAGGGUUGUAAAGUACUUUCAGCGGGGAGGCGUUACCCGCAGAAGAAGCACCGGCUAACUCCGUGCCAGCAGCCGCGGUAAUUC